CCUACGGGAGGCAGCAGUGAGGAAUAUUGGUCAAUGGUCGGGAGACUGAACCAGCCAAGCCGCGUGAGGGAUGAAGGUACAGAGUAUCGUAAACCUCUUUUGUCAGGGAACAAAGGCGGGGACGCGUCCCCGGAUGAGUGUACCUGAAGAAAAAGCAUCGGCUAACUCCGUGCCAGCAGCCGCGGUAAUACGGAGGAUGCGAGCGUUAUCCGGAUUUAUGGGGUUUAAAGGGUGCGCAGGCGGUCUGUUAAGUCAGCGGUCAAAGCUCGGGGCUCAACCCCGGCCCGCCGUUGAAACUGGCAGUCUCGAGUUGGAGAGAAGUAUGCGGAAUGCGCGGUGUAGCGGUGAAAUGCAGAGAUAUCGCGCAGAACUCCGAUUGCGAAGGCAGCAUGCCGGCUCCACACUGACGCUGAGGCACGAAAGCGUGGGUAUCGAACAGGAUUAGAUACCCUUGUAGUC
rnacentral:rRNA from 1 species